rnacentral:rRNA from 1 species
UACGUAGGGGGCGAGCGUUGUCCGGAUUUAUUGGGCGUAAAGAGCGUGUAGGCGGUUCGGUAAGUCUGUCGUGAAAUCCUGAGGCUCAACCUUGGACGUGCGAUGGAUACUGCCGGGCUAGAGGAUGGUAGAGGCGAGUGGAAUUCCCGGUGUAGCGGUGAAAUGCGCAGAUAUCGGGAGGAACACCAGUAGCGAAGGCGGCUCGCUGGGCCAUUCCUGACGCUGAGACGCGAAAAGCUAGGGGAGCAAACAGG